UAUGCUUAAUGAUUUUGCUCCCCAGCAACAUGUUCCUAUGAAAACAUAAAAAAAAACAAAACACUGAUCAGGAUAGAGAGAAAUUGAAGCAGAUCUAUAGACAGAGCCAGACACCACUCCUCAAACAGCAGAGAGAGAGCUGCCUUAACAAAGACAGAAGAUGUGACAGAUCGAGCUGCAUCUCCUCGGAUUUCCUUGGCAUCACUUGAACAUGCAAGGGCCAAAAGAAAGGAAGGAAAGGUAGGAAGGAAAAUAAGAGCAAAUCCACAAUUCAUAUAGAACCAGA
rnacentral:lncRNA from 10 species